GGCUAGGUAGCUCAGUUGGUAGAGCAGGGGAUUGAAAAUCCCCGUGUCGGGGGUUCGAUUCCCUCCCUGGCCA
rnacentral:tRNA from 1 species